rnacentral:rRNA from 1 species
AUUGAACGCUGGCGGCAUGCCUAACACAUGCAAGUCGAACGGUAACGCGGAGAGCUUGCUCUCUGGCGACGAGUGGCGGACGGGUGAGUAAUACUUGGGAAUCUGCCCAGUAGUGGGGGACAACAUUCGGAAACGGAUGCUAAUACCGCAUACGCACUACGGUGGAAAGUGGGGGAUCUUCGGACCUCACGCUAUUGGAUGAGCCCAAGUCGGAUUAGCUUGUAGGUAGGGUAACGGCCUACCUAGGCGACGAUCCGUAGCUGGUCUGAGAGGACGAUCAGCCACACUGGGACUGAGACACGGCCCAGACUCCUACGGGAGGCAGCAGUGGGGAAUAUUGGACAAUGGGCGCAAGCCUGAUCCAGCAAUGCCGCGUGUGUGAAGAAGGCCUGCGGGUUGUAAAGCACUUUCAAUAGCGAGGAAAAGCUAAUAGUUAAUACCUAUUAGCCCUGACGUUAACUAUAGAAGAAGCACCGGCUAACUCCGUG